rnacentral:rRNA from 1 species
UACGGAAGGCAGCAGUGGGGAAUAUUGGACAAUGGGCGAAAGCCUGAUCCAGCCAUGCCGCAUGAGUGAAGAAGGCCUUCGGGUUGUAAAGCUCUUUUAGUGAGAAAGAUAAUGACGGUACUCACAGAAGAAGUCCUGGCUAACUCCGUGCCAGCAGCCGCGGUAAUACGGAGAGGGCUAGCGUUAUUCGGAAUUAUUGGGCGUAAAGAGCGCGUAGGCUGAUUUAGUAAGUUAAAAGUGAAAUCCCAAAGCUUAACUUUGGAAUUGCUUUUUAAAACUGCUAGUCUAGAGAUUGAAAGAGGAUAGAGGAAUUCCUAGUGUAGAGGUGAAAUUCGUAAAUAUUAGGAGGAACACCAGUGGCGAAGGCGUCUAUCUGGUUCAAAUCUGACGCUGAGGCGCGAAGGGCGUGGGGAGCGAAACAGGGAUUAGAUACC